rfam:Glossina austeni unplaced genomic scaffold Scaffold10, whole genome shotgun sequence.
GAGGUAGUUUUAGCACGUAGGCGCCAUGGAUGGCGCCUCGUACACGCUGCUGGCACGGACCAGCAGUGUCUUUCGAAAAUUUCUACCUU